UGUAGCUGUAGCUCAGUGAUAGAGGACUUGUGUAGCAUGCCUGAGGCCCUGAGUUCAAACCCCAGCACUACAA
rnacentral:tRNA from 1 species